rnacentral:lncRNA from 1 species
AGGGACUCUGGCUUUGUCCCUGUUUCCCCCUUUUCUUCCUCUUCACCCACUAAAACCCUGUUUUACUCACGGUUCAAAUUGUUUGGCAGCCUGAAUUUUCAUGGCCAUGGGACAAAGAACCCCGUCUUUAGCUGAAUUAAGGAAAAGUUCUGCAACAUUUUUGACGUGCAACUUGGGGGCUCAAGCGGAGAAGCGAAGCAGAGCCCCUGGAAAACUCACAUAUGUGUCAACAAUAGUCCUUGAUGCCCCUGUAACAAAACUUGAGCAAGGCCUGGUGAUGAAGAGAUACAAGAUUGUCACCCAAGGAUUUGAUUAUACCUCUGUUGAAAGUUAAUGCACACUCAACCGAAUAUGGCAAUUGGUACUCUCAAUUCUAUAUUCUCAACAAUUACAGUGAAGAUACAAGUAGAAUACAAUCACUGCCACAUUUUUUGAAAUUCUGUGUAAACUGUAAUAUUCUGUCAACAUUAAUGACAUUUGAAGUGUCCUGUCAAAACAAUUGCAGCUACUUUAUGUAUAAAACAUAUUAAAUAGGCUCAUCCAACUUGCAUUCUUUAUUAAGCUUAUUUUCAUAUUUUUUCCUAUGGAUGAACUUAAAAAUAAUUUUGUUUCUUAAUUAAGAUUCUAUGCAUGAAGAUGCUGAAUAAUUUAAGACAAUUGUUCAUUCAAAUAGUUGCUAAUUACACCCUCCUGGCAUAGUUAUUGUAUUAUUACUACAUUUAGGAAUAAUAUGCUGUACUACUUGGACUUGAAAAUGUUUCUGACAUUUUAAUGAACACACUACUUAGUUAUAUUUUACAAGGGUUUUCAGUGAACCACAGAGGAUUAAAAAAUGUCAUUCAAGGGUUGUAGAUAAUUAAACUGACUGAAUAUAAGAAGCCUCAUAUGGAAGUGAAAAUUAUGUAUGAAUUUUGUUGAGCUGGAAAUGUGUUUUACUAAAUGACUUCAGAUUUGUUACUUUUAAAUACAAGAUGAAGGGAAUCAAGGGGAUACUUUCUUCUCACCUCAAUUUGUUCCAUUUGCAUAAGCUAUUUUAUCUUUCAAUAUCCCUUUUGAUAUUUCAUUUUGGCCCUUGAAUACACUAAAGAUUAUUUAAAAUAAAUAAAUGUUGACUUUGAAAUACUGCUAU